GCCGUGUGUAGAGGUGUACGCCUAUGAUCCCAGCAACUCUGGAGGCUGAGGCAGGAGGAUCGCAAGUCGGAGACCAACCUGAGCUGAGUGAGACCCUGUCUCAA
rnacentral:sRNA from 1 species